rnacentral:rRNA from 1 species
GAUGAACGCUGGCGGCGUGCCUAAUACAUGCAAGUCGAGCGAACAGACGAGGAGCUUGCUCCUCUGACGUUAGCGGCGGACGGGAGAGUAACACGUGGAUAACCUACCUAUAAGACUGGGAUAACUUCGGGAAACCGGAGCUAAUACCGGAUAAUAUAUUGAACCGCAUGGUUCAAUAGUGAAAGACGGUUUUGCUGUCACUUAUAGAUGGAUCCGCGCCGCAUUAGCUAGUUGGUAAGGUAACGGCUUACCAAGGCAACGAUGCGUAGCCGACCUGAGAGGGUGAUCGGCCACACUGGAACUGAGACACGGUCCAGACUCCUACGGGAGGCAGCAGUAGGGAAUCUUCCGCAAUGGGCGAAAGCUUGACGGAGCAACGCCGCGUGAGUGAUGAAGGUCUUCGGAUCGUAAAACUCUGUUGUUAGGGAAGAACAAAUGUGUAAGUAACUAUGCACGUCUUGACGGUACCUAAUCAGAAAGCCACGGCUAACUACGUG